CUGUUACCAUCUUUGUAUCAUUCCACCUUACAGCUGCCCAGAGAUGUAGUGGAGAAACCUUCCCUGGAGAAGUUUAAGAACCCUGGAAGUGUGGCACCAUAGAACAUGGCACCACCUGCUCGCUGUCUGAAUCCCCACCGCUGGCCAUGGCAGCUGAGGGAGGCUCUGCUGGAAGGGAGGAACAUGCAACACAGCACCAUUACACGCAGCACCAGGCUGGUGGUGAACCCUGCCACACGGUGGGCAGAAGGGAGGCACCCAGAGAAGAUACCAGAGCUGCUGAGGCUGGACUUCACCUGUUGGGAGCCUCCAGAUGGCUGGAACCUAGCUGGGCACGACCUGAAAUGCUGGGGUGACCCCUGAUGUCCUUGGGACGCACAGUGAGGGGUGAGCCACCCUAAAUUCAUUAGGAGUAGUGUUUCACUUCUGGAUAAGCCAGCACUGAGGUACACUGCAUCUUCCUCUGAUACCACUUCAAUGAGGAAACCUCCAUUCUGGACUCGUUGACUCCCAGCAAAGCUUGCCAGACCGGCUGGUGGGGGAGAACACUGUGAAAGCUGGAAGCACUGUUUACAGCAUGGAUGGCUCCAGUUCUGAGUCAUGCGGUGAUAUCCCACUGUUGACUCCUUUUGCAAACAUAAGCUGAACAAGAAAGGACACAUAAAAGGGCACAGACCCUUCUUAUGGCAUAGCUCUCUGUGCUGCUGUGUUGUGCUGGGCAGGGGGUGUAACUGCCCUGUGCUUCAUACCUGAGGGCUGCAUCCACACCAUGGGAUGAGGCCACAUCUGCAGGGAUGCUGCAUGACAACAGGGAAGAGCCAUGAAGCAGGUAUCCGGGUUUUUGUGUACUCACAGCCUAGACUUGUCUUCAUUCAUUUACUGGGCCAGGCAAGCAGGAACAAGAAAAAGUAAUAUACUGAAUCUUGGGAGUUACACCAAGGAGGAAAUGGAUUUUGGCUUACAGGUUUGAACAGAUACUGAUGUACCAAAAGAGGAAGAAUUAGUUGAUCUGACAGCUGUCUUCUCUGGACGAUGCAAGUUUUAGCCACUUCUCAAAUGUAGUGCCAUGUGUGUUCAUGUUAGCUGAUGCUAACUGAGGCAGGAAGUGAUCCAAAGACAUUUGCUUGUGGGCUCCCAUAUUAUUGGAGAAUGGGGUUCAGUUUCAGGAGCACAUACACCAUAGAUAUCCAAUAAAAACUGAUGCUUUUAAGUCACUGAACUGCUUCUGAAAAUCAACCUUGUGAAUCUUUGGAUACAACUGCAAUGGGGGAUGAUGUUUAAACCUAGAAUCAUAGAAUUGUUCAGGUUGGAAAAGACCUCUAAGAUCACCCAGUCCAACCAUGGAGCCAUCUCCUCCAUGCCCAUUAACCAUGUCCCUCAGUGCUACAUCCACACGAGUCCUGAACAGCUUCAGGGAUGAUGCCUCUGCCACCUCCCUGGGCAACCUGUGCCAGUGCCCAAGGUAUUAUAGGACAAGAAAAUACUGCCAAGCCCAUCACAACAAGGCAGAAAUGCUGAUAGGACCCGCAUAUGUUACACAGAGAAACACAGCCUGAAAGUUCUUCCUUACCUUUUGUUGUAACAACUUAUAGGAUCCUGAUGGCAAUUCUUUUGGUGGUGGUGUCAAUACCUAUGAGUAUU